rnacentral:pre_miRNA from 1 species
AAAGUACUCCCUCCGUCCCAAAAUUCUUGUCUUAGAUUUGUCUAGAUACGGAUGUAUCAAGUCACAUUUUAGUAUUAAAUACAUCCAUAUCUAGACAAAUCUAAGACAAGAAAUUUGGGACAGAGGGAGUAGUUG